UCAUGCAACUCUAUGCAACAUCUAGUAGAUCAUUUGAUUCUACGCUUUACUUGGCUACUCUUAGCUCAAUUCAGCAACUCUAAGGUUUCUAUUACCUUAGGAUCUCAACUCAGUCCACUGGCUUCUAAGGUCUCUAUUACCUCAGCUCAAGCCUCUAUCUCUAGCUCAUAAGGGUUCCCCUACCCUAGCGAAGCUGACCACCCGACUCGGCUCCGAGUCAAUCAUCCGCGGAUAGCCCGCGCACUGGCUGCUCAUCAGCCUACCGCCCUCUCUGUCUCAGCCCCCUAGCGGCGAAGUCGUCGCACACGCUAAGCCCGGCUCAAGUCGCACGACUUGACCAUCUGGCGGCAACCACGUUGCUCUUACCCAGCGUUAGCUCGAGCCACGACACACCGUCUGGCAGCGAACGGAUCGCGCCACACCCAACAACGGUACAUGUCCGACUCAGCCACCUGGAGGCACCCGUAUCGUACUUACCCAGCAUGGAUUCGGUCUGCUCUGGCGGUCUGAUCCUCAAAUGGCUUAACCAUCCGGCGACGAAAUCGUCGCACA
rnacentral:lncRNA from 1 species